GGCUUUUUUUUCCAAAAAAAUUUGAAAUGAAUUCGCGGGCUUCAAAUGUUAAGUGGGCUAGCUAGGGUUCUCACAAUGCAAUUUGCUCUCCCUCAUUCUCUCUCCUCUCUCGCCCUCCUCCCUUCUCCUCCUUCUCUUUCACCCUCCGGCUGCAGCAACAUUUUACAGACGAGAUCGUCAUCCGUCUUCCUUGUUCGUCCUCCUUGUUCAUCGUUCGUUCGUCCUCCUCGUUCGUCGUUCGUUCGUCCUCCUCGUUCGUCGUUCGUUCGUCCUCCUCGUUCGUCGUUCGUUCGUCCUCCUCGUUCGUAUUUCAUUCCUCUUCCUCAUCAUCUUCCUCUUCUCCGGUGAUGAGCAGCGGAAGGUCUAGACAUGAUGUUGUUGGUGAUCAAAACAUCACGAGAUCGAAGAGGCUUGAACUCUGAAAUUACAUAUGUAGCAUAAUGGUAUACGUUAAGGCAUCUCGCGGAAGGAAGGAUGGAGAUCCAACUGCUGGAAAAUGACAAUUAGUUUGGUUAAGCAUCUAUGUUACUUAAUGCUUAUUCUCUAGAAGAAGGUGUAAAGCGCUAUGGCCGUAGUCCCUGUUCAAGGAAGUCAAAUUCAUGAAGAAUUGAAUCUGUAGUAAAGUGUAAGCAUGGCUGCAGAUUUCAGGGAAUGCAGAAGAAAACUGAUAAGCUAUAGUUUGUUGUUUCUCGGAAUAGGAUGGAGAUUUCACUUUGUAAGGGCCUUAAAUUCUGAAGGUUGAUUAUUCUUCUCUCUUUUGUGUGCUUGUAUUUUUAGUUAUUGUCUUCUUCUUCCACUUCUCUGUUUAUAUUGUUGUCACUCUCUCGAGUUUAAGGUCAAUCCUUCGCAUAGUUAUCUGCCUUUUCUCU